GAGAAAGGAAUUCCCAAAAUCUCGAUAUGGGCAUUAUCGAUCACCUCUGGGACGAAACCCUCGCCGGUCCUCGCCCCGAUUCCUUCCCCUCCUCCGCCGUCUCCGGCGCCACCGCCGUCCCCAAGCCCUUGCCAGUCACCAGGAGCAUCACCAUCGUCCGUGCCGGCCACCGCUUUCACUCGCCGGACUCCGCACCUUCCUCCCCUGUUAGCGCUCCCGAAUCUCCCCUCACACCUGGGACUCCGAGGAGCGAUUGGAGGAGGUCGCUGAGGAAGCCGCCGGCGACGUCUGCUGCGGCGGCGGCUGAGCCCAGGACCCCCACCGUCUACGAUUGGGUGGUGAUUAGCUCUUUGGACAAAUGAGAUAAAGAGAGAGAGAGAGAGAGAGUGAACAAAGUUUUGAAUCACUAAAAGCUGGUGGUGAUAAGUUCUUUGGACAGAUAAGGUAGAGACAGAGAGAAAGAUGUGAAGACUAGGUUGUCUUUUCUUUGGCAACUCUGUACAAAAGAAGCUGCAACUUCAACUUUCUUUUU